rnacentral:rRNA from 1 species
UACGGGGGGGGCAAGCGUUGUUCGGAAUUACUGGGCGUAAAGGGUGCGUAGGCGGCUGUGCAAGUCUGGCGUGAAAGCCCCGGGCUCAGCCCGGGAAGUGCGCUCGAAACUGCACGGCUCGAGUGCCGGAGGGGAGAGUGGAAUUCCUGGUGUAGCGGUGAAAUGCGUAGAUAUCAGGAGGAAUACCGGUGGCGAAAGCGACUCUCUGGACGGCAACUGACGCUGAGGCACGAAAGCGUGGGGAGCAAACAGG